UACGGAGGGUGCGAGCGUUGUCCGGAAUCACUGGGCGUAAAGGGCGCGUAGGCGGCUCGUGAAGUCAGUGGUGAAAGCCCAGGGCUCAACUCUGGGUCGGCCACUGAUACUCGCGAGCUCGAGUUUGGUAGAGGCAGAUGGAAUUCCGGGUGUAGCGGUGGAAUGCGUAGAGAUCCGGAAGAACGACCGGUGGCGAAGGCGGUCUGACUGGGCCGAAGACUG
rnacentral:rRNA from 1 species